rfam:Picea glauca, whole genome shotgun sequence.
GGGUGCCGUCAUACCAAUGUUAAUGCACCGGAUCCCAUCAAAACUCUGCAGUUAAGCGCACUUGGGCUAGAGUAGUACUGGGAUGGGUGACCUCCCAGGAAGUCCUAGUGUUGCAACCU